rnacentral:rRNA from 1 species
AUUGAACGCUGGCGGCAGGCCUAACACAUGCAAGUCGAGCGGAGCGGCGGACGGGUGAGUAAUGCCUAGGAAUCUGCCUGGUCGUGGGGGAUAACGUCCGGAAACGGGCGCUAAUACCGCAUACUAUCAGAUGAGCCUAGGUCGGAGUAGCUAGUUGGUGGGGUAAAGGCCUACCAAGGCGACGAUCCUUAACUGGUCUGAGAGGAUGAUCAGUCACACUGGAACGGUGACAGGGUCGAGACUCCUCCGGGAGGCAGCAGUGGGGAAUAUGGGACAAUGGGCGAAAGCCGGAUCCAGCCAUGCCGCGUGUGUGAAGAAGGUCUUCGGAUUGUAAAGCUCUUUAAGUUGGGAGGCGUUACCUACAGAAUAAGCACCGGCUAACUUCGUGCCAGCCGCCGCGGUAAUUC